CACACACACACACACACACAAUUGUUCCUGAGUUUAUUUGAUAGAAACUGAUCCAUUGAAUCAUUUUGUUUUUGUGAAAAAUUGUGAUUUGCUUUAUGCUUAUCUUCCUUUAAGAAACUAUUUUGCCAUGAGAAAAAUGUAUGAUAUGCACAUUCAAUUCGCUGAUCUGAAUGCCGUUGUGAUUUUUUUUUUUUUUUGGUAAUUGAUGUGGUAAGUGUUCUUUUGGAUGAAAUUGGUUUAGUUGAUUUGAUUGCUGAGAAGUAUUGUGACUGGUUAUUUUAUAUUUUUAGCGGUAACAGUUCUCUAGUUUAUAGUGUUUCGAUGAAUUUGGUUAUCUCAGAAAUGAUAAUUUACUCUUGUUUGGUACAGGUG
rnacentral:misc_RNA from 1 species